UACAUUUACACAGCACCACUUCCUCCUAUCGGCUGGCACCAGAUUAUGUGACUGAGUCAAACCUGUCAAAGGACCAUCACUUUGUUAUUGAACCAAUAUUGGACUAAUGUUUGAUUUGGCAGUUGGUCAGUAUGUGUGGAAAUGUAUUCAGGCUUGCUUUGCUUUUGCUGCUGCUGGGUCUAUACACAGCUGUUGAAGUGACUCAAGAGAAGAAGUUGGAGACCGGAGGAGCAGAUGUCAUUCUUCUCUGCUCAAACCAAACACUCACUAACAUCACUACUGUAGUAUGUAACAACACUAAAGUUAGAAGUGGGGGUCAUGAGUGUAGAGUUUCACACGACGUUGAGACAAAUCAUAUCGACAGCUCUUGUGACCCCAGAGUCACACUAGAGAUAGAGAAUGACAGAGUGUGUCUACGCAUUACCAACAUACAACCAUCUGAUGAUGGGAACUACACCUGUGACUUUGGAUAUAAUGGGGGAUGGAAUCAUAUAGAAAUACAUAUUUCUGUCAAUGGAACCCAAGUGCAAGAGGCCACAGACAACAGUCUCCUAUUUUGGGAUGAUAACAGGUGUUGCAGCAUGUGUAGCUGUCCUGGUGUUUGGUGGCAUAAUCAUGAGGAAAAUUAAUCUCAGAACACAGCUACAAGUGUCUGGAACCAUCAAAGAGGAGGAGCAACGAGACAUCGAGCCCUACAGCACGUUCACAAGUAGAACCAAUGUGCUUUACUCAACUCUCCAGCUGCUUGACCCCUGACCCUGAUCCUCUUGCACUGUUGACCAAUGAUGACAAGGCAUUAGACACCUUUUUGUAACAUACAGCUUGUACAGUAGAGUGGUAGAUAUACAUUUACUGUGAAUAUUUUGAUUACUGAAAAUGCCGUUUGAAAGUCGGCCUAUUUUUUUCCUGUCUGACUUGCCAUAUAUCAGCCUCUCCUUUACUGUAGAUCUUCUGUGGUUGUUGUAAAUAUCAACACAUACUGUAUACUGCACAUCUGUUAUGGAAAUACAAUUGUUAUAUACAUGUCUCAAAAUUAUAGCUGUUCUGUUGUUGCUUGCUGAUGGAACAAAGCAUGUUUCUGUGGCGAUGACCUGAUCCCAAAAUCAUAAACCUUUCCACCAGGUGCCAGUUUACAUGUCCUGUCAUAAACAUGAAUGGAGAAAUCGGUAAACUGCCACUGUAUUCAUAUUGUAACUUUAGAAAACAAAAAAUUAAUGCAGACCUACUUCAUAGUUCAUGUGCUUAUAAAUAUUGGUAAUAAAACACACAAAAUAACAAUA